AAAGAAAGAGAGAAAGAAAGAACGAACCAACGAACGAACAAGCGUCCACGAAAGAGAACACCGCCGGCGAUGGAAAAUUGGAACAGACUUUUAAAAGAAGAGCAUCGAGCUUUUUUUUUUUUUUUUUUUUUUUUUUUU
rnacentral:ribozyme from 1 species